UUGGAUAGCUCAGUGGGAGAGCAGUAGACUCAUAAUCUACGUGACGCGGGUUCGAAUCCCGCUCCAA
rnacentral:tRNA from 1 species